rnacentral:rRNA from 2 species
AAAUUGAAGAGUUUGAUCAUGGCUCAGAUUGAACGCUGGCGGCAGGCCUAACACAUGCAAGUCGAACGGUAACAGGAAACAGCUUGCUGUUUCGCUGACGAGUGGCGGACGGGUGAGUAAUGUCUGGGAAACUGCCUGAUGGAGGGGGAUAACUACUGGAAACGGUAGCUAAUACCGCAUAAUGUCGCAAGACCAAAGAGGGGGACCUUCGGGCCUCUUGCCAUCGGAUGUGCCCAGAUGGGAUUAGCUAGUAGGUGGGGUAACGGCUCACCUAGGCGACGAUCCCUAGCUGGUCUGAGAGGAUGACCAGCCACACUGGAACUGAGACACGGUCCAGACUCCUACGGGAGGCAGCAGUGGGGAAUAUUGCACAAUGGGCGCAAGCCUGAUGCAGCCAUGCCGCGUGUAUGAAGAAGGCCUUCGGGUUGUAAAGUACUUUCAGCGGGGAGGAAGGGAGUAAAGUUAAUACCUUUGCUCAUUGACGUUACCCGCAGAAGAAGCACCGGCUAACUCCGUGCCAGCAGCCGCGGUAAUACGGAGGGUGCAAGCGUUAAUCGGAAUUACUGGGCGUAAAGCGCACGCAGGCGGUUUGUUAAGUCAGAUGUGAAAUCCCCGGGCUCAACCUGGGAACUGCAUCUGAUACUGGCAAGCUUGAGUCUCGUAGAGGGGGGUAGAAUUCCAGGUGUAGCGGUGAAAUGCGUAGAGAUCUGGAGGAAUACCGGUGGCGAAGGCGGCCCCCUGGACGAAGACUGACGCUCAGGUGCGAAAGCGUGGGGAGCAAACAGGAUUAGAUACCCUGGUAGUCCACGCCGUAAACGAUGUCGACUUGGAGGUUGUGCCCUUGAGGCGUGGCUUCCGGAGCUAACGCGUUAAGUCGACCGCCUGGGGAGUACGGCCGCAAGGUUAAAACUCAAAUGAAUUGACGGGGGCCCGCACAAGCGGUGGAGCAUGUGGUUUAAUUCGAUGCAACGCGAAGAACCUUACCUGGUCUUGACAUCCACAGAACUUUCCAGAGAUGGAUUGGUGCCUUCGGGAACUGUGAGACAGGUGCUGCAUGGCUGUCGUCAGCUCGUGUUGUGAAAUGUUGGGUUAAGUCCCGCAACGAGCGCAACCCUUAUCCUUUGUUGCCAGCGGUCCGGCCGGGAACUCAAAGGAGACUGCCAGUGAUAAACUGGAGGAAGGUGGGGAUGACGUCAAGUCAUCAUGGCCCUUACGACCAGGGCUACACACGUGCUACAAUGGCGCAUACAAAGAGAAGCGACCUCGCGAGAGCAAGCGGACCUCAUAAAGUGCGUCGUAGUCCGGAUUGGAGUCUGCAACUCGACUCCAUGAAGUCGGAAUCGCUAGUAAUCGUGGAUCAGAAUGCCACGGUGAAUACGUUCCCGGGCCUUGUACACACCGCCCGUCACACCAUGGGAGUGGGUUGCAAAAGAAGUAGGUAGCUUAACCUUCGGGAGGGCGCUUACCACUUUGUGAUUCAUGACUGGGGUGAAGUCGUAACAAGGUAACCGUAGGGGAACCUGCGGUUGGAUCACCUCCUUA